rnacentral:tRNA from 1 species
AUGUAGCUUAGUGGUGGAGUACUUGCCCAGCAUGCAUGAGGCCUUGGGUUCAAUCCCCAGCAU